rnacentral:ncRNA from 1 species
UAUUCUCAGGGCGGGGUGUAAGUCCCCACCGGCGGUAAAUUGUGUCGCGGCGUAUCAACGUCGUGGAGCAAAAGCCCGCGAGCGCUCACCUUGUUUCUCUUCUCAAAGAAAACAGGGUAGAGGUCAGCAGAUCCGGUGUAAUUCCGGGGCCGACGGUUAUAGUCCGGAUGGGAGAGAU